UUCAUUACUGACGUGGCUUUCCUGCAAAACAUAGGCUCGAUUAUUAAGUCGGUUUUGUUAUUUGAUAAUAUACAUAGUACUGGAUGAUCGUUACGACCAAAACAAUAGUCAUUCGUCGUCCUCAAUUCUUCACCAUUUUCUUGUGUGAUUAGAUCCUGUCUGAACAAACGGAUUUGUGUGCAUUAUAAUUCUUGGUGCUAAAACAACCCCCACAAAAAAACCCAUCAAAAAUCAAAGAAACAUCAGUUUAAGAAUCCAUUGCUUUUUUAAAAAAAAAACCCCAAGAUGUCUGAUUUUGAUCCUUGUG